AAACCCCCCGAACUGGCCUGGCAAGGUGGUAAUAAUAGAAUUUGAUGAAUUAAAACUAUCUAGUACAGUUCAAAUCACAAUCUAAGUCAAUCCUUCUUUUGGUCAAAGGUUAAAAUAAUAUUUGACUUCUUAUGUUGACAGAUUACAGAUGAUUUCUAUGAACUUAUGUCUUGUGAUUUGCUUGUGACUGCUUCAGAAAAAUACUAUGUAUAGAUGAUCUAGAUGUAAUGACGGACAAAGUCAAAAUAUCAAUACGUGAGAUACUGAUUGGAAUUAGGUUAAAAGAAAAGUUUGUGAUUUAGAUUGCCCCCAAGAAGUAAGAUGACCGCAGAAACCAUAAGUCUGUAUGUAAAGGUGCCACCAGACAGCUUUACUGCUGACCAAGAGACAGAGAAUGUUCUGUUAGGCCUAGGACCACUUUGCCUGAAGGGAUGUAUGGACAACCCAACAUGUGUUCAGCUUGGUACACCUGGGAAUAAACUAUACACAUUUGUCAAUGAAGAGGGCAGUCAUGCCUCAAUGAGAAUCUACAGUCAUGGUUUGGUGACCUUCGAUAUACAGUACCUUAUUCAAGAUGGAACCAGUCCAUAUAACAUGGAUUACAUUCGGAACUUGCAAAGCAAGAUUAAACAAUACCUAGGAACCCUAACCACAGAGGUCAACAGUCUGUAUACCCCUAUUAAACGUGGGGGUCCUGUCUGGCCCUACACAGUUGCCGGUGAUGAGAGACUCAUAGAGGCAGACUAUGAUGCAGUUGUUAGUAAUGUCGAUUCAAGAUGGCAAAAUAUACUCAUAAUGCACUCCAAGGAGCAUGGCAACGUGCUAAGGCUAGACCAUGACACAAUGUAUGGAGAGAGUGACAAAAUCUACAUAGACACUUUAUGCCAACUUGGUAGAUUAGACUUCAAAAAUAAAGAAAUCCUCAUCCUUGGAGGUGGAGAUGGAGGGAUAAUACAUGAACUGCAAAAGGAGAACCCCAAAAUGAUAACAAUGGCUGAAAUAGAUGAGGAAGUGAUUAAAGUGUGUCGGAAACAUUUGAGAAGUGUUUGUGGAGAUACUAUGGAUACAUUUAUAGGCCCAAAUUAUAAAAUCCUAAUAAAAGACUGUGUAGAUGUUCUCAAGCAAGCCAUAGAAUCAGGGAAGAAAUAUGACUUUGUCAUCAAUGAUCUCACAGAAUUUCCAGUAGACAAAGAAUCAAAAGGGUUUGAUUAUGACUUUGAGACAGCCAGUCAAGUAUUAGAGAUGUCCCUACAGACAAUCAAAGACUCUGGAAAAUACUUAGCCAGGGGUAACACAAAGAGUGCAGUAGAAUAUCGUGAAGGUUUUGAGAGAGACGUUAGAAAACUGGGUGCAACUUUUACUAGGAGGGAUGUCCAUGUGCCAUCUUUCUAUGAGGUCUAUUCCCUUUAUGAGAUAUGGAAGUUAUCCACUACAUAGACAUAUUCUCUGUUUGAAAUAUGAAAGGUGCAUGAGAUAUCCACUACAAUUACAGUAUCCACAACAUAGACAUAUUGCCUGUAUAAGAUAUGAAAGUUAUCCACUAUAUAGACAUAUUCUCUCUAUGAGAUAUGAAAGUGAUCCACUACAAGGACCCAUCUUUCACUGUAUGAGAUAUAGAAGUCAUCUACUACAGAGACAUAUUUUCCAUAUGAGAUAUGAAAAUUUUCUUCUUCAUAUACAGAUACAAUUCAAAUGCUGUAUUAUAAUCAAACCAGCAUAAAAUGCAGAGCAUUACAUCUUUUAGGAACUUAUAUUUUUCUGAAAAGGUUUGAAUAAAAGUAAUGUGUUUGUUAUUUUCUGUUGGCUUGGAUCUUAAUAUUAAAAGAAAGAUACCAAUCUUUAUGCAUGCAUGGGUGUUGUAAUAAUUUAACAUCUGGAAUAAUCUGGUACAUAAUCAAUUAGAAGUCAUAUUUGCAGUUUCUGAAACAGUUAUAUUACCC
rnacentral:misc_RNA from 1 species